rnacentral:misc_RNA from 1 species
GUAUCGCUUCGUGCGCGCUGAAAAGCGUCGCGCGACUUCUGCGUUUUCGGCCGGUCAUCAGAACCGGGCUUGUAGCUCAGUUGGUUAGAGCGCGCGCUUGAUAAGCGUGAGGUCGGAAGUUCAAAUCUUCCCAGGCCCACCACUUCUUUAAGCGUCCGGCAUCGCUGCAAGGCAGCGAGGGGCCAUAGCUCAGCUGGGAGAGCGCCUGCUUUGCAAGCAGGAGGUCGUCGGUUCGAUCCCGUCUGGCUCCACCAGCCGGGUGCUUUUUAGGAAGCAAACAUCUCGUCCAUGAGAACACUUAUUCGUCGCGUCGAAGCAUCGAUGACGGCGUGUUGUCUGACAUCGUGAAGAGGGGAUCGUACCGGGCGUGCGAGCAUGAGAAAUCGUGCGCGCCCGUACAUGUGUUGCCGCAACAGCUUGCGGCAGCCGACAUCCUGUUGCGUCGCUGGUCGGUGUUGUUUCGCAAGAAACUUCACUUGGUGGCGUGACAUUCGUCAGUGGGCCUACCCGGCAUCACUGUCGGUCCGAUCCUGAGAAGCAAAGCUGGUCUUUCUGUCAUUGCCGUCCUCACACGAAUGAAGAUGGCGAUGAAGAAGACUGACCAAGAGAAGUGUCUAUCCCGCUGCCGAGUGGGAUGGGCAUUGAUGACAAGAGCGAUCAAGUGUCGAUAAGGGCAUUUGGUGGAUGCCUUGGCGCUGAGAGGCUAUGAAGGACGUGCUACGCUGCGAUAAGUCACGGGGAGCUGCGAAGAAGCUUUGAUCCGUGAAUUUCCGAAUGGGGAAACCCGG